rnacentral:rRNA from 1 species
UACGGGGGGGGCAAGCGUUGUUCGGAAUUACUGGGCGUAAAGGGCUCGUAGGUGGCCAACUAAGUCGGACGUGAAAUCCCUCAGCUUAACUGGGGAACUGCGUCCGAUACUGGAUGGCUUGAGUUUGGGAGAGGGAUGCGGAAUUCCAGGUGUAGCGGUGAAAUGCGUAGAUAUCUGGAGGAACACCGGUGGCGAAGGCGGCAUCCUGGACCAACACUGACGCUGAGGCACGAAAGCGUGGGGAGCAAACAGG